UUUGUCUCUGGGUGUCAUAUGAAUCUCGCUAGUUGUCCUUUUUUCUUAAUCACAGCUACCACCUGUUUCUCGACUUCCAAUACUACCCCCAGCCAUUAGUAUGAUCCCGCUACUUUAGGUUUUUCUGGUGAAAUUAAAGGAAGCACAUUUCUGAUUUCUCCCAAAGAGAAAAAAAAAAGGAAGGAUCGAUGUCAGCUUCAGUGACUAGACAAAGCCUUGAGGUUUCCUCGUGUCUCUUAUGUGCAUGGAUUAUAUUUAUGCGCGGGGAUGAAUCUUGCGU
rnacentral:lncRNA from 1 species